GCUAUCUGCAGUCGAGCGGACAGAAGGGAGCUUGCUCCCGGAUGUUAGCGGCGGACGGGUGAGUAACACGUGGGUAACCUGCCUGUAAGACUGGGAUAACUCCGGGAAACCGGAGCUAAUACCGGAUAGUUCCUUGAACCGCAUGGUUCAAGGAUAAAAGACGGUUUCGGCUGUCACUUACAGAUGGACCCGCGGCGCAUUAGCUAGUUGGUGAGGUAACGGCUCACCAAGGCGACGAUGCGUAGCCGACCUGAGAGGGUGAUCGGCCACACUGGGACUGAGACACGGCCCAGACUCCUACGGGAGGCAGCAGUAGGGAAUCUUCCGCAAUGGACGAAAGUCUGACGGAGCAACGCCGCGUGAGUGAUGAAGGUUUUCGGAUCGUAAAGCUCUGUUGUUAGGGAAGAACAAGUGCAAGAGUAACUGCUUGCACCUUGACGGUACCUAACCAGAAAGCCACGGCUAACUACGUGCCAGCAGCCGCGGUAAUACGUAGGUGGCAAGCGUUGUCCGGAAUUAUUGGGCGUAAAGGGCUCGCAGGCGGUUUCUUAAGUCUGAUGUGAAAGCCCCCGGCUCAACCGGGGAGGGUCAUUGGAAACUGGGAAACUUGAGUGCAGAAGAGGAGAGUGGAAUUCCACGUGUAGCGGUGAAAUGCGUAGAGAUGUGGAGGAACACCAGUGGCGAAGGCGACUCUCUGGUCUGUAACUGACGCUGAGGAGCGAAAGCGUGGGGAGCGAACAGGAUUAGAUACCCUGGUAGUCCACGCCGUAAACGAUGAGUGCUAAGUGUUAGGGGGUUUCCGCCCCUUAGUGCUGCAGCUAACGCAUUAAGCACUCCGCCUGGGGAGUAC
rnacentral:rRNA from 1 species